GAAAGAGAGGAGAGAGAAAGAGAUGGAGAAGGCGAUCGAGAGGCAGAGGAUCCUGUUGCAGCACCUCCGGCCGUCGCCGGCAUCCGGUGAUUGUCCGGCAAUCUCGGCUGCGGUGUGCGCUGCCGGUGACAGCGCGGCGUAUCAGAGGAAUCCUUGCUUUGGUGAUGAUGUGGUUAUUGUCGCUGCGUAUCGAACUGCGAUUUGCAAGGCCAAACGAGGUGGUUUCAAAGAUACAUUCCCUGAGGACUUGUUGACUCCUGUUCUCAAGGCUUUAUUAGAUAAGACUAAACUGAAUCCCAGUGAAGUCGGUGAUAUAGUGGUCGGGACUGUCUUGGCACCAGGCUCUCAAAGAGCAACCGAAUGCAGGAUGGCAGCACUCUAUGCCGGUUACCCUGAGACUGUUCCUAUCCGGACUGUGAAUCGACAAUGCUCAUCGGGCCUUCAGGCAGUUGCUGAUGUUGCUGCUGCUAUCAAAGCUGGAUUUUAUGACAUUGGC
rnacentral:misc_RNA from 1 species